rnacentral:rRNA from 1 species
AAUCAACGCUGGCGGCGUGCCUAACACAUGCAAGUCGCACGAGAAAGGGACUUCGGUCCUGAGUACAGUGGCGCACGGGUGAGUAACACGUGAAUAAUCUACCUUCGAGUGGGGAAUAACUGAGAGAAAUCUUAGCUAAUACCGCAUAAUACCCACGGGUCAAAGCAGCAAUGCGCUUGAAGAGGAGUUCGCGGCAGAUUAGUUAGUUGGCAGGGUAAUGGCCACCAAGACGAUGAUCUGUAUCCGGCCUGAGAGGGCGCACGGACACACUGGAACUGAAACACGGUCCAGACUCCUACGGGAGGCAGCAGGUGGGGUAAUUUUGCGACAAGGUACGGGGAAACCCUGACGCAGCAACCGCCGCGUGGAGG